CACAGCAUCAUUUGAAUUUUUACUAGUCAAGCAGAGCUGAUGAUGACCUUUCUCUGGUGCGUAAGUGCAGCCCAGCAGAUGGUGGAAAAUUGGAAGGACUGUCUGGGCCAUACGGAGCAUAUGCAGUGAGUUUGUGGAGCCCCGGCGUAGUGCGGUGGAGCCCGGGACGUGGACGCCCGCCCGGUGAGACUGGCACAGCUUGCUGACAUUGGCACGAUGCAAAGGGACAAUCCCCCCCCGGAGAAACCUGGAGUGCCUUGCUCAAGAACACAAUGGUGGUGGCCGUGGGGUUCGAACCAGUGUCCUUCUGAUUACCAGAUUACCAUGGGUUCACACUGAGGGACACAGGUGGCUCAAUCUCAACAGGGCUGUGGAGACAAUUUGUCAAGACCCCUUGCCAUGAUUAACCUCCCUCCACAUCAGAGCAGCAAAAAGUGGAAGAAG